ACGCCCUCUUCGGAGGGAGUGGCAGACGGGUGAGUAACGCGUGGGAACAUACCCAAUGGUACGGAACAACUGAGGGAAACUUCAGCUAAUACCGUAUGAGCCCUACGGGGGAAAGAUUUAUCGCCAUUGGAUUGGCCCGCGUUGGAUUAGCUAGUUGGUGAGGUAAAGGCUCACCAAGGCGACGAUCCAUAGCUGGUCUGAGAGGAUGAUCAGCCACACUGGGACUGAGACACGGCCCAGACUCCUACGGGAGGCAGCAGUGGGGAAUAUUGGACAAUGGGCGCAAGCCUGAUCCAGCCAUGCCGCGUGAGUGAUGAAGGCCCUAGGGUUGUAAAGCUCUUUCAGUCGUGAAGAUAAUGACAUUAGCGACAGAAGAAGCCCCGGCUAACUUCGUGCCAGCAGCCGCGGUAAUACGAAGGGGGCUAGCGUUGUUCGGAAUCACUGGGCGUAAAGCGCACGUAGGUGGACAUUUAAGUCAGGGGUGAAAUCCCGGGGCUCAACCCCGGAACUGCCUUUGAUACUGGAUGUCUAGAGGCCGAGAGAGGUGAGUGGAACUCCGAGUGUAGAGGUGAAAUUCGUAGAUAUUCGGAAGAACACCAG
rnacentral:rRNA from 1 species